UCCCAAACUUCUUUUUUGAUUCAGGGAGCAUUUCCUGGUCUACACCUUGGAAUUUGAGACUGGAUAUCUUAGUAAAUUGAAGAAGUGCUGGGCUCAGACUCAGCUGUGAUCAAUCUUCCUUGAAGUUCGAUUAAUUUUCACUAGAUAGAGGGGAAAACUUAGUUCAACCUCAAUACCGAAAGUAAUGGUAUAGGAAGAAUCCGAGGAUGAGAAUGAG
rnacentral:lncRNA from 1 species